GAUGAACGCUGGCGGCGUGCCUAAUACAUGCAAGUCGAGCGAACGGACGAGAAGCUUGCUUUUCUGAUGUUAGCGGCGGACGGGUGAGUAACACGUGGAUAACCUACCUAUAAGACUGGGAUAACUUCGGGAAACCGGAGCUAAUACCGGAUAAUAUUUUGAACCGCAUGGUUCAAAAGUGAAAGACGGUCUUGCUGUCACCUAUAGAUGGAUCCGCGCUGCAUUAGCUAGUUGGUAAGGUAACGGCUUACCAAGGCAACGAUGCAUAGCCGACCUGAGAGGGUGAUCGGCCACACUGGAACUGAGACACGGUCCAGACUCCUACGGGAGGCAGCAGCAGGGAAUCUUCCGCAAUGGGCGAAAGCCUGACGGAGCAACGCCGCGUGAGUGAUGAAGGUCUUCGGAUCGUAAAACUCUGUUAUUAGGGAAGAACAUAUGUGUAAGUAACUGUGCACAUCUUGACGGUACCUAAUCAGAAAGCCACGGCUAACUACGUG
rnacentral:rRNA from 1 species